GAGGAUCGUGGAUUUCUGAAGGUAGAGGACGUGCCUGUGGUGCUUGUGGAGAAGAAGGGCCGUAUAGGCGCUGGCCCAGCCCAUGAGACUCAGAAACAAGAAAUCCCGCAGGGCCAUGAGGAUGGGAAACGUCCACUUCCUGAUCUGGCUUCUUGGGAGGACGUGAGAGCAGCUAUUUCCGUGGCUAGCUUGUGACCUGUUUAGGCCGCUCGUGUUGCUGACGUAGUAGAGUAAGUUCACGCUGACCAAGGAGUUGAGGACCCAGAAGAAGAGGCAGAAGGGAAGGAUGUGGCUUGCGGAUGCUGGCUUGAAGCCGGCGGGCACGGGGGCUCUGGGGCUGAUGGUGGUGGCCUGGACCACGGCGAGGAAGCUGCUGCUGGAGAUCGAAAG
rnacentral:lncRNA from 1 species